AACAGUGCUACCAUAAAUAUUCAGUAUUAUAAUUCAGAGACAAUGUGUUGUGAAGAGCUGUUUUUUCAUUGACUUGAAGAGGUAAAUGUUGCAUGUUCAAUAAAUACUCUACUGAAUAUGAAAAUGAAACCUUGCAUUAAAUCAAGUAGCUUAUAGUUUUAAAAAAAAAUUUGUGAAAGAAUAAUUUUUUUAACUUUACUUUGAUUUGGAAGAAACCAUAUUACUUUAGAAGGAAAAUGCGUGUAUUUUGAAUUAACAUUUUGCAAAGUUCAGUACAUUACCAAAACACCAUAAGUGGCUCUUAGUAAUCACAAAUUUCACUGGAAGGGACACGGGUGGCUAGGGCCACAGUCCUGGCCUCCUCAGCUUGUGGGCCAGGGCUGUGUUCAACCAGCCCUUCAGUGCCUCCCGCUGAGUGGCAGCUCAGACUUCCUGGAGCCACUGCCAGCCUUCCCUGGCAAGGCCUCCCCACUAGGGGCCGACAGUGCUGGCUGUCCCCAUGGCCAAGACCCUGUGUAGUCCCAGGCAGCCGUGGCUGGAGCACACAACAUGUUUUUGUUCACUGCAGAAAGAACCACAAGCAAGAGGAAGAGAUGGUGAUUGUCCACUAAAAAAAGGCUAACUGAAGCAGAGCCCUAUGCUGGUUCUAAUGACUAGAUUAUUUUUGCACAUCAAGAUGGAGAGGGUCAUGUAGUAGAUCUCUGCACUAGUGGCCUUUUUGUACCUGCAAUGUAAGAUGUUAUAUGUGAAAAAAUGGAGCAGAUGAUGGGAGAACAACUGUGAAAUUGCCAGAAGGGAGCUUUAGAUUAAGGACAGGAUAACUGACAAAGAUGAAGUUGAAGCUGACAGAAAUGUUAACCAUCUCCCCAGUCUUGCCCUUUCUGAUAUCAUGAAAACAGAUUUGGAGAAUAAUUUGAUGAGUUGUUAACAAAGAAAAUAAUUGAGUCCAUGA